CAAAGGCAGAGUCAUCAAAUUGAGAUGUUAACUAGGGUUAAGAGCACAUUCUCCUUCUCCUUCGUAGCCACAUUUGGGUUCUCCUUCAUCGCUAUAUUCGCCUUCCCGGACCGUUUCCACAGCGCCUUCGUCUCACUCCUUCAAAGCUGGGUAGAGCCUCCCUUUAAUCUCUUUCCGCAUCUCAAUAGGACAAUGUCUCAUGACCAUUCGCGACAUCCUCAAAAAUCCUGCACAGAUCUCGCAACUCGGUAGAUAAAGAUAGAGAGAGAGAAAAAAAAAGGAUUGUUGGUUUGUGUCGUUUUUGGAAGAGAGAGAGAGUGAGAAAAAUGCAUAAACGAAGGAGCGAGGGAAGAGAAACAAAUUCACCAUCUUUCCCUCUUUCUUAAUGCUUAUAUUUAUGGGUUUCGCUUCGUUUUCUCUUUGACAGCUUCGUUUUCCUCAAAGCCAGUGCUCGUGACCCGUUUCCAUCACUAAAAUGGGUUACGCGAGCUCGAAGAAGACAGUUACCAGAGCCGGCAGCUCUACCCCGGAGGGGCCAUGCAUGGCGUGUUUGAGUUCGCAAAGAUGGAGCAAGAAUGAGUCAGGGUGAAACCGAAAAGGUGUCGUGACGGAGGCGCAUGAGGGAGAGGUGCGUGAGUGGAGAAAGGGGAGCUUGAGAAGGGGGACUGGGUCGGUGUCUUUAAGGUUGUCGUGUAGGUUUGUUGUGGCUGAGCAGAAUGCGGCUGGGUGGCCACCUUGGCUUACUUUUGUUGCUAGGGAAGCCAUACAAGGGUGGGUCUCACUCAUAACAGAUUCUUUUGAGAGAUUAGAUAAGCUGGUGAUCUUAUUGAUGAUGAGAAUUGGCCUCCAAUUUUCCUAAUCAUUCAUCAUGAUAUUGCCAAUAAGAUACCGAUUCAUGCUCAAAGGCUGCAAUAUUUGGCCUUUGCAAGUUGGUUAGAAUUUUUUUCUUACUUACACAUCCCAAUCAAAAGCUGCAACAGAUUCCACCACAUAUUUGAUUGGGCACAAGAAUCUUAUCCUCAACAGAUCAUUCCAGGUUUUAUUCAUCAACUAAAGGCAUGGUGACAAAAUGAACUGUAAAAUGCUCCUUUGAAAGCUAUCUUUGCCUGGUUUUGUGCAUUGAGUCAAUUAGAGCUUGUUGAAUCCCAGGAUAGGAUAAAAGACUCUUAUUCAAAAGAAAAUUUGUACCUAAGGACUUUAUGAAGAGAAAUUUAUAGGAUCCGGAUCUGCAAGUUGGUGUCAAAUAUAAUACCCUAACGACCUCGAAAGAAAAGACAAAAGAGCCAUCAAUGGUUGAGCCAGAAUCAGAGCCAACUACUAAAACAAUCGAAGUAGCUAGAGAAGUCCACGUGGACAGCUUCAACAUUGGCAGAUGAACAGGAGGAAGUUGGUGGUCAUUUGGAGCAAUAAUGUAUGAAAUAUUGGUUGGUUACCCUCCAUUUUACUCCGAUGACCAAAUAACCACAUGCAGAAAGGUACCAUCCUUAAUCGGCUUAAUGGCUUCUCAUAAACAUAAUAAUUUGUUGCAUCUCAUUUGUAGUUUAAUUUGAUGGUGACUUAACACUUAGUGUUAUUUCCUAUUGCUACUGCUUGUGUUCUUUCUAAGACUUAAAUAUUCUACCCAUUACAGUUGAUGUAUGUCUAAUGGCUUUUUAUUCUUUCAUUUUAUUAGCUAUUGACUAUGAAAAGAUUAUGAUUUGUUUUAAGUGCAGACCUGUCCAAAUACUGAAGAGCACAUUAGGCUAUGCAACUUAAUGUCUUGAAAAGUGGCCUGGUUAUGAUUGAAAUAAACCACUUGUACAAGUCGAGUGAUUAAUCAAGUGAAAUAUUCUCACCCUCUUUACUAAAGAAUCACUCGUCUAUGUUACUUUGACAUUGAUGAUUGAUGACAUUGGUGAAAUAUUCUCACCCUCUUUACUAAAAAAUCACUCGUCUAUAUUACUUUGACAUUGGUGAUUGAUGAUUCCUAUCUAGGAAACUUACAUUUGAAUUUUAUUGGUAUUUACUUGUUUGUUUUGUUUAAGACACAUGCAUUUUUGAGAAAUUUUUAUCAUGUUUGAGAAUUUUUAUGUGUAUAUAGUAUUAUAUAAAUGUUAGAAAAUUAUGUAAAAAAUUCACAAUUGUAAAAAAUUAUAUUAAUGUUAGAAAUCCUCUUUUGGAUUUUGUUACUUCAGUGUAUGCAUGUGGUCCAAUUGAAGUUCAAUUUUUUAAAUUUUUUUUUAAAAAAAACACAUUUUAAGACGGUUCUCUGAAAAACUGUCUUAGAAUGUCUACAUUCUAAGAUGGUUUUAUGAGAAAACGGUCUUAGAAUCCUCAAAAUAUUUUAAAUGUUUUUUAAAAAUAUAUGUGUUAACAUUCUAAGACGUUAGAAUCCUCAAUAUAUUUUAAUUUUUUUAAAGAAAUACAUUCUAAGAAGGUUCUCUAAAAAAUUAUCUUAAAAAGUCUACCCUUCUAAGACAGUUUUUAACUAAGAAACGUCUUACAAAGGUAUCCUUCUAAGAUGGUUUUUAGUUAACAACCAUCUUAGAAGGAUUUCCUUUUCUAAGAUGGUUUUUUAUGUUGCCUACGACGACAGUUAAUAACCAUCAUCGAAUGUGUCUUUUAACCGACAUAGAAAGCGUUUUGUUUAGUAGUGGUUUUUGUUGGCAAAGGAGUCCAGGAUUUCUUCACCUGUCACCUCGUGCAAUUUUUGUGACUAACCUUUCAAUUGCUACAAUUUUACUCAUGAUGUUCCCAAACUGCUUUCACCAAAGUAGUCUUCCUGGAUCUAGUUACUGCUUGUUUUGGUAUUAUUUCAAGUAAAUGUAGAUCUCAUGGAAUUCUGGGUAAGGAGAUGCUGAAUGAAAUCAAGCUGAAGGAUCUUUUUAAUGGAUCAUAAUAUGUUCUUACAUAUGAGGACAAAGAUGGAGAUUGGAUGUUUGUGGGUGAUGUUUCUUGGGAGUAAGUUCUAAUUCAUUUUUGUACUUGCUUUUCUAUUAGAUUUUCUUUGAAGUUUGAAAGAAUAAAUUUCUCAAAGAUGUCAACUUUAUAUUCUAGAAAUUUGUUUUUGUGUGACAUUUGUAGUUUUAAUUCAUAUUAACAUGUCUUGGAAAGGAAGCUAAGAAGUGCAGAUACUUCAAAAUGGUUGCUAUACUAGUGUCCUAUUUAAUACUUCAUCCCAAGAUAGAAGAAAUCAAACUUUGCGAGGUGAAAGCUUUUUUGUUGAUCAAUGUAGGUUCUGUAUGGUUAGUUUGACAAUAUUAUAAUAGAUGAUUUGAGACAUGGAAUGCUCUUUGGAUUCUGGUUGGCCAAAGGCGUUGUUGUAAAUUAUGAGAUGCAAAAGGUUAAUACAUAAUUUUUUCUUGCCCAUAA